CAACAAUAAAAUAGUUUCAAGUGUUUUGUCCAAAUACUCGUGGAUUCUACUAAUAAAUGAAUGAACGACCUGACCAGAGAGGUCCAGGACCUGAAGAACAGUUUGCAGUUCUCCCAGGGGCAGGUCAACGAGUUGAAACAGGAGAACGGCAAGAUGACAGUAAUCUGAUCUCCGCAUGAGACCUGGAUGGAGUCUGAGGACAAAGUGAGGGAAAUGAUCUCUGAGAAAUUGAAGUUGGACCACAGGAAGAUUGAGGUGGAGUGGCCCACAGGCUUGAAAACCCCACCAUCGGCACAGGUGACAGGCCCAGGCCGAUAGUGGUCAAGUUCUAUUGAUUAAUGGACUGCUGAAUGUAUAUAUUUUUUCUCUUUCUUUGUCUGCUCUUUUCAAUAUUAUGUCUAGCUCUGAUAAGCUACCCAGGAAAGGGCUGAAAAUAGCCCAUAUUAAUGUAUGUAGCCUUAGAAAUAAGGUUCACGAAAUCAAUAACUUGCUAACAUCAGAUAGAAUUCAUAUAUUAGCCAUUUCUGAGACUCGCUUAGAUAAUUCAUUUGAUGAUACAUCAGUAGCAAUACAAGGAUAUAGCAUUUAUAGUUGAGACAGAAAUGCUUAUGGGGGAGGUGUGGCUGUACAUAUUCAGAACCAUAUCCCUGUAAUGCUUAGAGAAGAUCUUAUAUCAAGUGUUAUUGAAGUGUUGUGGUUGCAGGUUCACUUGGCACAUCUAAAGCCUUUUCUUUUGGGGUGUUGCUAUAGGCCACCAAGUGCUAACAGUCAGAAUCUAAAUAAUAUGUGUGAAAUGCUUUAUAGUGUAUGUGAUGUAAACAGAGAGGUUUACUUUCUUGGGGACCUGAAUAUUGACUGGUUUUCAUCAAGCUGCCCGCUCAAGUGGAAGCUUCUCACUGUAACCAGUGCCUGUAAUCUGGUUCAGGUUAUUAAUCAACCUACCAGGGUGUUUACAAACGCUACAGGAACAAGAUCCACAUGUAUUGAUCACAUUUUUACUAAUGCUGUCAAACUUUGUUCUAAAGCUAUAUCCAUACCCAUUGGAUGCAGUGAUCAAAAUAUAGUGGCUAUAUCCAGGAAAGCCAAAGUUCCAACAGCUGGGCCUAAAAUAGUGUAUAAGAGAUCAUACAAAACAUUUUGCUGUGACUCUUAUGUGGAUGAUGUUAAAAAUAUUUGUUGGUCUGAUGUGAUUAAUGAGGAGCAUCCAGAUGCUGCACUUGAUGAAUUUAUGAAAUUGCUUUUUCCUAUUAUUGAUAAACAUGCACCUGUUAAGAAACUGACUGCUAGAACUGUUAAGGCUCCAUGGAUUGAUGAGGAAUUGAAAAACUGUAUGGUUGAAAGAGAUGGGGCAAAAGGAAUGGCUAAUAAGUCUGGCUGCACAUCUGACUGUCUGACUUACUGCAAAUUGAGAAAUGAUGUGACUAAACUCAACAAAAAGAAGAAGAAACUGUAUUAUGAAGGCAAGAUAAAUGACAAAGAAUGACGGAAAAAAACUUUGGAGUACUUUAAAUGAAAUUAUGGGCAGAAAGACAAAUUCAACUCCAUCUUUCAUCGAAUCAGAUAGCUUAUUCAUCACAAAAUCAUUUGAUUUUGCUAAUUAUUUUAAUGAUUAUUCCAUUGGCAAAGUGGGCACACUUAGGCAGGAAAUGCCCAUGACAAACAGUGAGCAAUUAUAUUAAUAUAUAAAAAAACAAAUAAUGAAAGAAAAGCAGUGCAAGUUUGAAUUUUGUAACGUUAGUGUGGGAGAGGUGGAAAAAUGAUUGUUAACAAUCAAUAAUGACAAACCUCCUGGCAUUGACAACUUAGAUGGAAAGCUACUGAGGAUGGUAGCUGACUCCAUAGCCCCUCCUAUCUGUCAUAUCUUUAAUCUGACCCUAGAUGUCCUCCGGCCAGGAGGGAAGCCAAGGUAAUUCCGCUACCCAAGAGUGGUAAAGCAGCCUUUACUGGUUCUAACAGCAGACCGAUCAGCUUGCUGCCAGCUCUUAGCAAACUGUUGGAAAAAAUGGUGUUUGACCAAAUACAAUGCUAUUUCUCUGUAAACAAAUUAACAACAGACUUUCAGGAUGCUUAUAGAGAAGGGCACUCAACAUGUACUGCACUGACACAAAUAACUGAUGAUUGGUUGAAAUAAAUUGAUAAUAAGAAGAUUGUGGGAGCUGUACUGUUAGAUUUCAGUGCAGCCUUUGAUAUUAAUGACCAUAUCCUGUUGUUGAAAAAACAGUGCUAUGGCUUUUCAACCUCUGCCAUAUCGUAGAUUCAGAGCUAUCUAUCUAAUAGUUUCAUGCAUGUUAACAUCAGAAGCCUCCUCCCUAAGUUUGUUUUACUCACUGCUUUAGCACACUCCGCCAACCCUGAUGUCUUUGCCGUGUCUGAAUCCUGGUUUAGGAAGGCCACCAAAAAUUCUGAGAUUUCCAUACCCAACUACAACAUUUUUUGUGAAGAUAGAACUGCCAAAGGGGGAGGAGUUGCAAUCUACUGCAGAGAUAGCCUGCAAAGUUCUGUCAUACUUUCCAGGUCUAUACCCAAACAGUUCGAACUUCUAAUUUUAAAAAUGAAUCUCUCCAGAAAUAAGUCUCUCACUGUUGCCGCCUGUUAUAAACCCCCCUCAGCUCCCAGCUCUGCCCUGGACACGAUAUGUGAAUUGAUUGCCCCCCCAUCAAUCUUCAGAGUUCGUUCUGUUAGGUGACCUAAACUGGGAUAUGCUUAACACCCCAGCAGUCCUACAAUCUAAGCUAGAUGCCCUCAAUCUCACACAAAUUAUCAAGGAAACCACCAGGUACAACCCUAAACCCGUAAACAUGGGCACCCUCAUAGAUAUUAUCCUGACCAACUUGCCCUCCAAAUACACCUCUGCUGUUUUCAAUCAGGAUCUCAGCGAUCACUGCCUCAUUGCCUGCAUCCGCUAUGGGUCCGCGGUCAAACGCUCCCUAAAACACUUCUGCGAGCAAAACAGAUAAAGCAACACCUCGCGGCACAACGCCUCUCGCCUUUUUGAACUAGAUAGUUUGUGUGUAUGCAUUGAUAUGUAGGCUACGUGUGCCUUUUUUAAAACUGUAUGUAGUUCUGUCCUUGAACUGUUCUUGUCUAAUGAUGUACUGUGUUAUGUCAUUCUGUGUAACAUUUGAAGCCGGAAGUUAACAUACGCUUAGGUUGGAGUUAUUAAAACUCAUUUUUCAACCACUCCACAAAUUUCUUGUUAACAAUCUAUAGUUUUGGAAAGUCAGUUAAGACAUCGACUUUGUGCAUAACACAAGCAAUUUUUCCAACAAUUGUUUACAGACAGAUUAUUUCACUUAUAAUUCACUGUAUCAUAAUUCCAGUGGGUCAGAAGUUUACAUACACUAAGUUGACUGUGCCUUUAAACAGCUUGGAAAAUUUCUGAAAAUUAUGUCAUGGCUUUAGAAGCUUCUGAUAGGCUAAUUGACAAAAUGUGAGUCAAUUGGAGGUGUACCUAUGGAUGUAUUUCAAGCCCUACCUUCAAACUCAGUGCCUCUUUGCUUGACAUUAUGGGAAAAUCAAUAGAAAUCAGCAAAGACCUCGACAAAAAAUUGUUGACCUCCACAAGUCUGGUUCAUCCUUGGGAGCAAUUUCCAAACGCCUGAAGGUACCACGUUCAUCCAUACAAACAAUAGUACGCAAGUAUAAACACCAUGGGACCACGCAGCCAUCAUACCGCUCAGGAAGGAGACGCGUUCUGUCUCCUAGAGAUGAACGUACUUUGGUGCGAAUGGUGCAAAUCAAUCCCAGAACAACAGCAAAGGACCUUGUGAAGAUGCUGGAGGAAACAGGUACAAAAGUAUCUAUAUCCACAGUAAAACGAGUCCUAUAUCGACAUAACCUGAGAGGCCGCUCAGCAAGGAAGAAGCCACUGCUCCAAAACCACCAUUAAAAAAGCCAGACUACGGUUUGGAACUGCACAUGUAAUAGUACUCUUCUUGCGUUGUGUACAAUCAAUCAUCGACACGAACUCCAACUUGUAACACCAGUCAUGGAGAUUUAUUCUGAUAGGAACAGCACAAAAUUGCACGUCAUGCACGGCUCACCAUCCAACUCUGCACUCACGCACGCUGGUUUGGUGCUUGUUCACUGGGCAAUGUAGUUACCAAAAUAAUACAAUUACAAUAUACAAUAUAAUAUCUUUAACAAGGUACCUGAUAGGAACAGCACAAAAUUGCACGUCAUGCAAUGCACGGCUCACCAUCCAACUCUGCACUCACGCACUGUACAAAAUAUAAAACCCCCCCACCAGACACAGUAAGUUGCUAGCUAGUAUUAGCUGGAAUUCUCUACAACAAAAUGCACAACCAAUAUUCACCAAAAACCGCUGCAUCUUAUGUGUGAUGUUCGAAUAACAUUUCCAAACAAAUUGAUAUAAAUUGUACAUUUAAAUUAUCACUUGGGAGUAUAAAAAUCACUUUUGACGUACAGUGCUUUGCAACCAACAACUUACCGCUGGUUUGGUGCUUGUUCACUGGGAAGAUUCUAACUGAAACAUCCUCCCUCGUAAGCAAGCUACGCAAACCAGUCAAUAAGUGUCACGUCCUGACCACUAAUAGGGGUUAUUUGUUAUUAUAGUUUGGUCAGGAUGUGGCAGGGGGUGUUUGUUUCAUGUUGUUUGGGCUAUGUAUUUAGGUAGAGGGGUGUUUGGUUUAUGUGGUCCGGGGUUUGUUAGUCUAUGUUCUAUGUUAGUAUUUUUCUAUGUUCUAUCUAGUCUAUUGUAGUUCUUUGUUUAGUUAAUUGUGGUUGGACCUUCAAUUGGAGGCAGCUGGUUAUUGUUGCCUCUGAUUGAGGGUCCUAUAAUUAGGAGUUUGUUUUCAUGUUUUUUUUGUGGGAGAUUGUGCUGUGUAUAGCUUUGUGCCUUACCGGCCUGUUAGUCGUCGUUGUGUUUUGUAUACGUUUUGUUUUUUUUCCUUCUUUGUCAGUAAUAAAGAAGAUGAGUGUACAUAUUCCUGCUGCGUUUUGGUCUUUACCCUACGACAACCGUGACAAUAAGAUGCCAUGUCGAGUAGGUGAAGGCAAGACAAAAAUAAAACCAAAACCCCAUUGGCUUAACAAUAAAGUGGUAAGGGGAAUCACCAAUAUAACCCUGUUACACACAUGGGGACAAAUAUCAUUCUUUUUGGAGAAAUGUCCUCUGGUCUGAUGAAACAAAAAUAGAACUGUUUGGCCUUAAUGACCAUCAUUAUGUUUGGAGGAAAAAGGGGGAGGCUUGCAAGCCGAAGAACACCAUCCCAACCUUGAAGCACAGGGGUGGCAGCAUCAUGUUGUGGGGGUGCUUUGUGUGGCUAUAUUGAAGGAACAUCUCAAGACAUCAGUCAGGAAGUUAAAGCUUGGUCGCAAAUGUGUCUUCCAAAUGGACAAUGACCCCAAGCAAACUUCCAAACUUAUUGUGGGAAGCUUGUGGAAGGCUACCUGAAAUGUUUGACCCAAGUUCAACAAUUUAAAGGCAAUGCUACCAAAUACUAUUUGAGUGUAUGUAAACUUCUGACCCACUGGGAAUGUAAUGAAAGAAAUAAAAGCUGAAAUAAAUAAUUCUCUCUACUAUUAUUCUGACAUUUCACAUUCUUAAAAUAAAUUUGUGGUCCUAACUGACCUAAGACAUGGAAUUUUUACUAGGAUUAAAUGUCAGGAGUUGUGAAAAACUGAGUUUAAAUGUAUUUGGCUAAGGUGUAUGUAAACUUCUGACUUCAACUGUAUGUUUCAUGUUUUGUGUGGAUCCCAGGAAGAGUAGCUGCUGCUUUUGCAACAGCUAAUGGUGAUCCUAAUAAAAUACCAAAUAAGUAGUGACACUGCCUUGGAAUAUAAGUCAAAGCUGUUCUCCAUUUCUCAUUACAGGUGGGAUCCUUUGGGAACCUAAAACAUCUUUCAUAAUAGACACAUUUAAUUUGAAUGCGCCUUCAGUUUUGAUUAGGAAUGUAUGUGUUACUCAUAUAAAUAGAAUUUUGUUGCGUUUCUUCAUCCUUUAUUAUUACUAUCCUCAUGAAG
rnacentral:lncRNA from 1 species